GACGAACGCUGGCGGCGUGCUUAACACAUGCAAGUCGAACGAUGAACCCGGAGCUUGCUCCGGUGGAUUAGUGGCGAACGGGUGAGUAACACGUGAGUAACCUGCCCUUGACUCUGGGAUAACUGCGGGAAACUGUAGCUAAUACCGGAUACGACCCUCGGCGGCAUAGCCAGGGGGUGGAAAGAAUUUCGGUCAAGGAUGGACUCGCGGCCUAUCAGCUAGUUGGUGAGGUAACGGCUCACCAAGGCGACGAUGUUUAGCUGGUUUGAGAGGAUGAUCAGCCACACUGGGACUGAGAUACGGCCCAGACCCCUACGGGAGGCAGCAGUGAGGAAUAUUCCACAAUGGGGGAAACCCUGAUGGAGCGAUGCCGCGUGCAGGAAGACGCUUUUCGGAGUGUAAACUGCUUUUAAUAGGGAAGAUUAUGACGGUACCUAUAGAAUAAGGACCGGCUAACUACGUGCCAGCAGCCGCCGUAA
rnacentral:rRNA from 1 species